rnacentral:rRNA from 1 species
AAGAGUACGUGAAACCGUUCAGGGGUAAACCUGCGAAACUCGAAUGAACGAACGGAGAGAUUCAUCGUCAUUCCGCGGCGUACGUGCGCGCUCCUCGAUGUCUAUCGUACACGUCUAGUGCGCGUCGACGGACACGGGUCGCGUACGUUUAUACUACCGCGGACGGCGUGCACUUCUCUCUCAGUAUCUAUUUGCAUCGCGACCCGUUCGAUGUCGGUCUAAGCGCCGUUCGGGAGCCCCGCGGUCUGCGUUUGCGCGCAGUCUGCGGGACCGCGGCGGUCGCCGACCGGCCGUCGGACGGUAUACCGUAUAGAGGAAUCGCGCACGCGUUUCAAACGCGUCCGGCCCGACGCAAGGCGAUGCGUCGUCAUCGAGAUCCUGCCGUUAAGCGCGGAUAUCGGUGCGAUGCGCCUGUUGUCGCCGCCGUGUAGUCUCGGACUGUGCGCGUCUCUGUCUGCGAUGAUUCAGUUUCGGG